UACGGGGGGGGGCAAGCGUUGUUCGGAAUUACUGGGCGUAAAGGGCUCGUAGGUGGCCAACUAAGUCAGACGUGAAAUCCCUCGGCUUAACCGGGGAACUGCGUCUGAUACUGGAUGGCUUGAGAUUGGGAGAGGGAUGCGGAAUUCCAGGUGUAGCGGUGAAAUGCGUAGAUAUCUGGAGGAACACCGGUGGCGAAGGCGGCAUCCUGGACCAACACUGACACUGAGGAGCGAAAGCCAGGGGAGCAAACGGG
rnacentral:rRNA from 1 species